CAGCAACAGAAGUUCUGCAUUUGAGUCUUAGCUGAUUGGAACAGCAGGGGAGACAGUGAAAUUAGUAACAGGCAAAGAGAUGCUCCACGUUGGUCUUCAUCAUCAUUUAAAAAAUUGCCUUUUGAGUGGAAGGGGAAGACGUGUUUUAAAAAGAACUUAACUUGUGUAAGCAAAUCCAGGGCUGCCACUUGAGAGUGCAGUUCUGCAGAGAAACACCUAAAGGAGAAGCUUCAUCUGAAGUGGCCUUGACCACCUUCCUCCCUGGGUGCUUCCUACCACCACAUUAACAGCGAUGAUCCAAUGGUGACGUGAUGGACCGUGACCGGAGUGGUGCGUCUCGGUGCUGUGAUGCAGGCCCAGUCAUCUCCCUCAGAAAGUCAUUCCCUGUGCAUGGCUGGCCUGAGCCAACUUACUCCGUGGCAACGUGCCCAUUGUUUGCUGUGAAUUUAGAACCUGAAGCUAAGGAUGAAAGCCCUUGUCAGCUGUGCAGACACUGAAGCAACAAGCCUGAGAUGGGGUCAUGUUUUUUAACAAAGGAAGCUACAGCUAGCAAACCAGUAGGCAUCUUCUCAAGAGAGGGCAGCAAGCCUUGCUGACAAAACAGACAGGUAUUAUCCCACACUAAAAUGAUUGCUAUGUGCAUGAUU
rnacentral:lncRNA from 1 species